rnacentral:lncRNA from 1 species
GUAGAUGCAGCAGUACAACACUGAAGAUGGAUUGGUGACAGGUGGCUGCGACGGCCUCAUACCCGGCAGGCAUCCUGGUUGAGGAGUGCGCCGGACUGGUAGGUGCCCCAUACCCGGCAGGCGUCCUGAUGGGACCUCAGGUCUUAGAUGUUAGGUUUGGCUGCGAUGUUUGUUUGGUAUUAGGUCCAGACUAUCAGCAUCCCUUCAUUAAAUGGAUAGGAGUAGCGACACAUGUUGCCUGGACGGUGAGUUUGUAUGGUCUUGGGUGAAUAAUUAAUAAAAUAGCUGCAUGCAUCGUCCAGAUGCAGAGGCCGGGGUCCUCCUCCUUUUCUAAAAAAGAAGUAGGCAAUGGUGGCCAAGUUGAUCACUCUUGUUGCCGUCCUACGUCCCCGUGAAGCUGCAUCAGUUCAAUCCCAUCACAUUUCAGUUCAGUUUAACCUGGCCAGCCACAUCAGUUCAAUGUGUACUUUUGAAGAAAUGGAGAUGGCUGAAUAAUUAGUAACGAAUCGAUGGAUCUCACAAAUGGGAGGAAGCUACACCACUGAAUUGUUCCACUAAGUUGAGCAAAAGAAAAGGAAGUUCACAACAAAACAACCUUCCUGUUGCUCAUCGGUUCAUGGAAAAAUUUUGGUGGUAUGCUUUGGCACGAACCUUAGUACUCACUAGAUAGUUCAAGUUCAGCAAAGAUUUCAGGUCAGUGAGAUGUUGCAAGACAGUAUGGGCCAUUUCAGUUCAGGGAGAUGUUCAACACUACUGAAUUUUAGUUCAGGCUUUUGGGUUCUACCCUUGCUGCGCAUGGGUUGUACUUCACGUUUACGUCAAGAUCAGAUACCAUAUGCGCAGUGCCUCGUGUGUGUGCGAGCUAGCUAAUCAUUCUGCUAAAAAUAUAGUGUUUGUUUCAGCUUGUACGUAUAAACAUAGAUUUAGCCCAUUCGAUAUACUACAAUGCAUUGUUUUGGUAAUUCUACUUGUACAUAAACAAAAUAUUUUUGUGUCUAAUGGUGGCCGUAACAUAUACAGUUCUACCUAGAAAAUUGUCGAAUUGUGGCACAUUUUGCUCAGCAGAUACAGAUACAGUGUUACCUGAUGUUGUUUCUGUGAGCAGCCUGGUGUCUUGGUGGUGAUGCAAAUUCGCUUGGGAAGCUUGACAUAUCUGGGGGCUUGGGUGAAGAAAACAAGGAUGCGCACCCGGUGCCGGUGCCGCGCCUGCCAGGUAACAGGGCGACCACCAAAAGCACCUGGAUCUGUCCUCUUACGGUCUUCUCGCCGCCGCGGCACACCAACCCGCCGGACUAGCGCUGCCCCAACCGGGCAUCCCCUCACCGCCGCAACCCUUCAGCUCGUGCACCUAGCGAGCAUCACUGCAACCUCAACCUCCACCACCACUGAAGUUCGUCCUGUCUAGCGACUCCAGUUCGCUUCUUUUUAUAGUUUCAAUUCCUUGGUUGCAUGCUAUAUUCGGUGGUGUUGAUGUUGGUUGUAGGGGGAGGAAGUUGAUGCAUUAGUUUUGAUACAGAGAAAUCUUAGUGGUUCAAAUGGGCGAUUUGAUUUUUUGCCACAACUUACAUUGCACUUUGAUAAUUUGCCACUAGUUACAUUGUAAUUAAUCAUUUGCCACUCUUUAGUUUGGACUUUGGUCAUUUGCCUUUUUGCCUCAAAAACAACCAUUUCAAUUGUAAGUGAAAUUAUAUGCCUAAAAAUAGUGACCAAACUACCCUUUGCACCUGUUUGACCCAAACCAAAGGGCUCCGACUCCAACUCGACCCG